rnacentral:rRNA from 1 species
GAUGAACGCUGGCGGUAUGCCUAACACAUGCAAGUCGAACGGUCACUUCGGUGAUAGUGGCGGACGGGUGAGUAACGCGUGAGAAUCUGUCUUCAGGUCGGGGACAACAGUUAGAAAUGACUGCUAAUACCGGAUGUGCCCUAGGGCGAAAGAUUUAUUUCCUGAAAAAGAGAUCGCGUCAGAUUAGCUAGUAGGUGGUGUAAGAGACUACCUAGGCUCCGAUCUGUAGCUGGUCUGAGAGGACGAUCAGCCACACUGGAACUGAGACACGGUCCAGACUCCUACGGGAUGGGGCAGUGGGGAACUUUCCGCAAUGGCCUAAAGCCUGACGGAGCAAUGACGCGUGAGGUACGAAGGCAUUUGGGUCGUAAAGUUUUAUUAUCAAUGAAGAUCAUGACGGUACUUGAGGAAUAAGCCUCGGCUAACUCCGUG